AUUGAACGCUGGCGGCAUGCCUUACACAUGCAAGUCGAACGGCAGCACGGGUGCUUGCACCUGGUGGCGAGUGGCGAACGGGUGAGUAAUACAUCGGAACGUACCUUAUCGUGGGGGAUAACGCAGCGAAAGCUGUGCUAAUACCGCAUACGCCCUGAGGGGGAAAGCGGGGGAUCGCAAGACCUCGCGCGAUUAGAGCGGCCGAUGCCUGAUUAGCUAGGUGGUGGGGUAAAAGCCCACCAAGGCGACGAUCAGUAGCUGGUCUGAGAGGACGAUCAGCCACGCUGGGACUGAGACACGGCCCAGACUCCUACGGGAGGCAGCAGUGGGGAAUUUUGGACAAUGGGGGCAACCCUGAUCCAGCAAUGCCGCGUGAGUGAAGAAGGCCUUCGGGUUGUAAAGCUCUUUUGUCAGGGAAGAAACACCGGCUCUAACACAGUCCGGGAAUGACGGUACCUGAAGAAUAAGCACCGGCUAACUACGUGCCAGCAGCCGCCGUAA
rnacentral:rRNA from 1 species